rnacentral:pre_miRNA from 1 species
AGCUUUUCGAAUCCGUGCUGAGAUUUCGUCAGACACUAAACCAUUAGGGCUGAUCAGACUCCCAAGAUAAGUGAAGUU